UGCCCUCCCUAAGGGCAUAGUACACAAAACUGCAUUGUGAGUCAUGCUGUCGAUUGGAAACAGAGCGGAUUGAAGUAAAAAGCUUUGGAGGAGGCUGAAGGGAGACCUUCAUAUAGAAAGCUGCAGGAAUGUGAGGGUAUGUUGGACUGAUUAGAAAACGGGCCAGGAAGUUGAAGAUGUUUUCAUCUAGAAGUGGUCAGGUAAUAGGCCAAUAGCUGAUAAUCAUCAUCAUCAUGGUUCAGGGUGAUGUCUGAAUGUGAGAUGAAGGAGCAAAAAGAGCCAGUGGACAACUACUUGCAGCAGCUUCUCUUAAAAAAAUAUAUGAAGGUUGUACUACAAUAAAG